UACGUAGGGUGCAAGCGUUGUCCGGAAUUAUUGGGCGUAAAGAGCUCGUAGGCGGUCUGUCGCGUCUGCUGUGAAAACUCGGGGCUUAACCCCGGGCCUGCAGUGGGUACGGGCAAACUAGAGUGCGGUAGGGGGAGAUUGGAAUUCCUGGUGUAGCGGUGGAAUGCGCAGAUAUCAGGAGGAACACCGAUGGCGAAGGCAGAUCUCUGGGCCGUAACUGACGCUGAGGAGCGAAAGCGUGGGGAGCGAACAGG
rnacentral:rRNA from 1 species